rnacentral:rRNA from 1 species
CAAAGGAGAAAUCCGAUGGGAGAUGGACUCGCGGCUGAUUAGAUAGUUGGCGGGGUAGAGGCCCACCAAGUCGACGAUCAGUAGCCGGACUGAGAGGUUGAACGGCCACAUUGGGACUGAGACACGGCCCAGACUCCUACGGGAGGCAGCAGUGGGGGAUAUUGCACAAUGGGGGAAACCCUGAUGCAGCGACGCCGCGUGAGGGAAGACGGUUUUCGGAUUGUAAACCUCUGUCUUUGGGGACGAAUCGAGACGGUACCCAAGGAGGAAGCUCCGGCUAACUACGUGCCAGCAGCCGCGGUAAUACGUAGGGAGCAAGCGUUGUCCGGAAUUACUGGGUGUAAAGGGAGCGUAGGCGGGAUAGUAAGUUGAUUGUUAAAACUAUCGGCUCAACUGAUAGAUGCGAUCAAAACUGCAAUUCUUGAGUGAAGUAGAGGCAGGCGGAAUUCCUAGUGUAGCGGUGAAAUGCGUAGAUAUUAGGAGGAACACCAGUGGCGAAGGCGGCCUGCUGGGCUUUAACUGACGCUGAGGCUCGAAAGUGUGGGUAGCAAACAGGAUUAGAUACCCUGGUAGUCCACACUGUAAACGAUGAUUACUAGGUGUGGGUGGACUGACCCCAUCC